GUUAAAGAGGCAUUACAUUCCCUACAAGCCAAAUCAGACAUUCAAAGUAUGUCCAGCUCCCCUGAGCAUCAAAAGGAGGAGGGAUCAGCAAGUCUCAGGCUUCAUCUCAAUUUGACAAUUUAGAGGACCUAGGACCAGAUUUAACAUAUCUAUGACAAGAUUUCUUUGGGAGCAAGGUUGAGGAUCAAGGCUGUUUAGUCACAGAAGUUACAAACCUUCUUUCACCUGCACUCUAGAAAAGGUUUUCAUUUGAUUGGGAAGUACUUCUGCAAGGCUUUAUGGAAAAGUCAGCUGGGUGUUUGUCCUGCUCCCUCCCAGGCAGAAAAGCAGUCAUAACUGAGAAGAUGGAGUGGAUUUUGAUGGUACCCUACAGAAUCUGAGGAGAUCCAGGACUGCUCCUUCCAUGCUGAGACAUCUCUGGAGCUGGGAGAUACAGAACCUGUGUGGGGAAAGAGUGGGGCAGGCUCAGGACAACUGUGGAUGGAAUGGAAAGAGUGAUCACCCAUGAGAGCAAACUGCUUUGGUCUCUCCUGCUGCAGGUGGAGGAACCCAAACACUCCAGCCUUCAGAUACUGCAGCCUUGAAUAGCACAGGAUGAGAUGUGGAGCAACACAGAGGCAAGAGAUCAAGAGGGGAACCUCUUUGUCCUGAUUACACCUGCAUUAAGAUAAGUUUUAAUUAUGAUUUUUUAGAGUGUAGCUGCCAAAUAAGUUCAAGCUAAUGCUGGUGAGAAGCUACAGGAGGCAAUUCAAGGAGGCCAUAUAUUUUCUUAAAUUCAUUAGCUGCCCAUUGAGGGUUGAAGAGAACAGAACUAAAAAUAAUUACAUAUGAAUUAUGAAGUUCAAAUGGAAUGUGUUACUUUGCUCACACAAAACUUCAAGGGAGACAAAUCAGAGAGGCUUAUUAGCAUAUUCUAAUUUUCCAACAAACCUUACAAUGAAGGGAAUAUAUAAUAAUGUAAAGGAGUUGAAGAUUCAUGUUUCCAUAAUAGCUGUGUCUGCACUAUCCUUCCCGUGAAAUUUAUUCUCUGUGGGUAGUGAUGCUGUUGAAUAGUUUUUAUUUCACAGCCAUCUUUAUUAUUUUCCCCUGUAAGCAGCCCUUUUGUGUAUAUCUAUUAACAUGCAAUCCUCUCCUGCCCAGAACUUUUUUCAGCUGCAUUACACCUGAGCCAGGGGUUUUGCAGGGAGCAAAGGGCAGCACGCAAAACUGAUCAUAAAUACACUCCCAAAAAUUCAUUUUCAUUUGAGCUCAUUCAUUCUAAUUGUUCUCUCGAGGCUGGAUUUGGAGCACGGAGAAAUCCAAAGGGGGCUCACUGGGCUGUGGGUCAGGUUUUCAGGUCACCUGUACAUGGCAAGUGGUGAAAAAUGAGCAGCACAGUGCCAGCCCCUUAGGCCUGACCCUGAGGAUGGAGUAAGAAUUCAGGCACUGAUCUCAUCAAGUGCAGUCUCAGGGAUGGAGGAGAGCACAGCACCCACCCCUUCUGCAGCCAAAGGCAGUCACAGACCUCAGUGACCAGCAGGCUGCUGUGCCCCAGUAACUCAGCUGACCAUGCCCUGAUUAACUGGUGCAAACUGUGCCCUGAGCACUCUCUCUGUGGAAUUAAUUCUUUUGUUGAUGACAAUGGUCCAAGAUGUUGUUAGAGUCAUUGCUGGGACUUGAUGUGAUCACAGCUACAUUUCCAUGUUCAGCUAUAAGUACUGUGAUGACUGGUUUGUCCCAUUACUUUUGUUUUCUUUUGUGGGGAGGGUUAGGGUUUUUUUGGGGGUUUUUUUUUGUGUGUGUGCGUUUGGUUUUUUGGGGGAUUUUGAGGCUUUUUUUCUUAAACAGAAUCCUUUAAGCCAGAUUAAAAAUUUGUUCUUGCAGACAGAAAUGUUCUUUCCUUUAGUCUAGAUUAGGCAUUUGGAUGGGAAAUGGAAUGUGGAGGUCCUGGCCCAACUUUCUGUGCAACCACAAGUGAAUCACUUCAUGCUGUGGCCCCUUGUUGCUGUACCAAACUCCACCCUACUUUGCUUGAUUUUAAGCCAGCAAGAGUGGUUGUCAUCUUUUGUCUUUUUGGGGACAUCAGCAUGAAUGUUGCAAGACUGGGGAUUCUGGACAUCACCACAGUAAUCACAAUAAAGGUCUGAGAGCCUCUUGGUCAAUUCCAAAACUCCCCCUCUUUCCACAGUGUUAGAAACAGAUCCUUGUUGAGCUGCUUUUAGCUUUUAUCAUCUUUGAUAAAGCUUUUAGCACUUAUCAUCUCUAUCUCCAUGGGUGCCCCUUCCUGGUGUCCUGUUGCUUUCCAUGCAUUGAGUUCUACUGUUGUCACAAAGGAUCUGGAAACAGAUAUAUAAUUACAAAGUGUAAGACAGGUAACUGCACGACAGAAAAAGGAGUGUUCAAGCCUGGAAACAAAGGAGUUAAAAUGAAAUUAAUUUCUCUUACCCACUUUCCAAAGAUGCCAGCCUUUCUAUGUAAACUCCUCUGUCAUUAAUCUAAUAGAGCUCUACUUCGUUCAUAAUUUACUACACUCUUGAGUAAGCCUUUCUAAUAUUUGUGCAGGGAAAGUACAUAAAUCAUUGUUGCCCUUCUCUACUUUUUUUUCACUUAUCUGGUUCUUUCAAGGUCAAUAACCUACCUUACAACUUUCAUCUGGUUUAAAUAUUCAGCUCUUGCUUUUUACACCUCUCUUCCUUGUUCAUGUCCAUUUGGAUAUCUGCAGCUGUAGCUUCUCAAGUAGCUAUUGAUCAUGUCUCCUUGCUAACUUCAUCAGCAGUAAUGGUACAAAUUACAUCUGUUAGGGUUCACUCACACCUCUCUUUCAGAAGGAGAGACUGCCUUCUGACUUUGUUAUUGGCCAUCUUUUCUGCCUAGGAUAUCUAAAACUCAGUGAGAAAAAUUACAUGCUGGGAAAUAUCCUCAUGCUGACACAUGUAGGCUUUCAGUGCCCAGGUCAUGCAGAGCAGCUAUCAAUCCCUACUGACCUCCAGGAGCCUGGAAUAUAGCUGGGCAAGGCCUCAGUCCAGCAAUGCACUUAAGGGUAUGCUUAUGUAAACAUAGGAUCCAUCCCAUUUUCACUGCAAUUUGGUGAGAAAUGCAUUUCAGAGCAGAGCAUCUCCAGGGAUGCUCCUUUUUGCAGGGGCUGUGCAGGAUGAGGCUGUACCAGCAGCCAACACGAGCACACUCCAAGAUAUUUGGUAAUCUUGCACAGGGCAAAGCAAUUCUCUUUGUCUUACUUGUGGGGAAGCUGCUGAGGUGCCACUGCUUUGGAAUCAGUGUGUGUUUGUGAGUGUGAGCCCUUGUCCUCUGCAGAGCUGAUGAAUUCUUAGGAGCUUGAGUUUCUCUUGCUGACUGUUUAAGAGAAAAUUAAAUUAUUUAGGAUUAAGCAGAAUAAUUGGGUGCUGCAGGACCUUACAGUUAUGCCUGUUGUGUGCUGAGGGAUCAUCCUAUCUUCUGGCUUCAUCAGAUCCUUGACCCAGUCGUGUUGCUGCCACAAUCUUGCCAACUUGUACCAAAAAACACAGGAGUGGAGUUUAGUCGUGGUUGUCUGCUAAGGAGGGAGGCUGGGAUAUUUACCACCAUGGCAUAGAAGAAAACAGGGCUAGAAAGGACCUGAACAGGUCACCUCAUCCACCCCCACACAAACCACUCCUGACCCAUUUGUCUGAAGUGUUUUUUUAACCCCGUCAGCCGUGGAGAUCCCCCAGCCUGCCCAGGCAAUCCCCUCCAGUGCCCAGUGACCCUUGCAGCAGGGAAGUUAUUCUAGCUCUGAACUCAGGUCUCCCUGGCUGCAUUUAAACCCAUUACUUUUUUUGUGCUUUCUCUGUGGAUAUGGAUAACAAUUUAUUGCCUUCCCCUUUGCAUAAGCCAUUUAUAUAAUUGAAGACUGUUAUCAUGUCUCCUCUCUGUCUUCCCUGCUCUAGACUAAAUAGCCCAGAUAGGAUGAAAGCUGGAAUGGGGUGUCAGGGAGGAGUGAGAGGAGGAAAUCAGAGAGGGAUUAAUCCUGCUUUUAGUCCCUGUAGAAACAGACUUUGCCUUCUGAAGGAUGGGGAUAUGGGAGGGAGAAACAGGAUUCUCUGUGCUGCUGAUUCACUAAUGCAGCUCUGUGAAAUGUGUAUCUGAUUGAUGGGCCACUGCCUCACAGGCUGAGGAAGAGGGGCUUGGACUGACUGACUGCUGGGCUGUGACCCUGCUCUCCAGCCUCUGUGCUUGCAAAUGAUGGCUUUAAUUUCUUACACCGGUGAGGAGCGUAUCCAGCUCACAUGUCAGCUCCUGGGAGGUGUAUCUGGUUGAGUUUCUGUGCAUCCCAAAAGCUGCUUCCAGGUGCUGUGUGUGUUAUACAAUCAGACAACAUGAUGAUGAAGAACCACCACAGUCCAGACCGCCCACCAGGAGCCCUGCCAGGGAGCAGGAGUCCUCUCCUCUGAUGGCAAAGCCUUGUUUUCUGCUGCCCUGACCUCAGCUCUGUGCUUCCCACCCAUGGCCACCAUGGGAAGCCACUCACCACACUGCCUAUGUGUGCUUCAACUGCCUACAUGUUUACAGCUUGAUUGCUGUUCCUAAAACCAGCAGUGGGACAGGCAGACUCUGAUCCAGAGAGCCCUGUGGUGUAUUUUGUCAAUGUCACACACAUCAGGAGAGUACAGCCAGCGCUCAGAGUGACUUCUUGUGCUCAGAACCCUUUUCCAUUAUUCACAUCUGCUGUCAGAGCUGCAGCACAUGUGCAGCCAUUGCUGUCACAACCUGAAACAAAAAUACCUCCCAGCCUGGAGACUUCCAAAGGCACAAGGUGAGGGGAAAAAUGUUUCCUUGCUACGUAAUGCUCCCAAACAGUUUUUGGUGACAGCUUUGCCUUGCUCCAAGCGCUCCAAGAGCAGCACGUAAGGUGGAGCUGUUUUCCCUGGGCUCCUGGUGACAUGGGAUCACAGCAUAAUUUACAUCAGAAGAGGGCUGGCCUUGAAGAAAGCAAAAUAUUAGAUGCUGUUUGGACCAGCAAGAAAGUUCAUUGCAUUUCAAGAGCAACACAGACCAACUCCAGCAUUCCCCGUCUCUCUUCCUCUCCCACUGGCAGCUAAGUUGGCUGUUAAGACUUUCCAGUUCAAUUUCACAGUUAAAAAAAUCUUGACAAAUUGCAAUCCAAUUGUUUGGUUGGGGUUUUUUGUUAGUUUGGGGUUUUUGGGGUUUUUUUUUUGCUCUCCCUUUCCCCCACCCUUCCUUCUCAGAGUGACUUUGAAGAUGACAUUUGUAUUUCUGAAUUAAAACCACAUUUGCCCAAUACUGCAGAGGGGGAAGGCAAGGGCAGAAGAGAGAAGAAAAGUUUUUGUUCUCCUCCUCACAGUGACCCCCUCACCUGCCAGGGCCAAGCUCCACAAUAAUUUCUAACAGCUGAGGUUAGUCAGGGACACCCAAUCCCAAGAAGCUGGCUCUGAAUUCCAGCACCAGCACAGAGUUUUAGUUCCAUCAACAGCCAUUUACAUCUAAUUCUCCCAAACCUCUGAGGUGUGAGUAUACGUACAGGUGCAUGCUUAUUAAUUCAGAAAUAAUUUUUUUCAUAAAUCUGAGCCCAAAUGGCAUCAACAGCAGUGACAGCAUUAUGUUUUUAAAGGUAAGCAAGCUCAGGAACUGUUUUGAGGAUGCACUGGGGUCUUUUGAGCACACCCUAAACAGCAGUGUCUAACAGGAUGCCAAGAAUUGUGAUUCUGAGCCAAAGGGAGGGCUGAGUCCCCUUUCCCUGAUUUCCUGCAAUGGAAGAGGAGUGCUCUGUGCAAAUGGAACUGGAAGUAUCAGCUGAGUGUGCUGAGACCUGUCCUGUGUGUCUCCAGAAGGGGCUAAGGAGCAUCCUGGCAGCACAACAGAGAGAAACCUCCCAGGGCUCAGCUGAUGGCAGGAUGUGACAGCAACUCUGAAAGAAAUGCACCUUCCCAGGCAUGAACGGGGAUGACAUGAGAUGUGUGCACUUGUCAAGAUCCCACUCUGGAACAGAAGAUCAGAGCAAACGGGGGCUGAGGAGAACAAAAGCUGCCCCAAACCUUUGACCUAAAUUUAACAUAAAGCCAAAUGAAACCUUAGAGAUUUUCUGCUUCUGAGCUCCUCCAAAGUCCUCCCCAGUGGGAGCUGGACUGAGUGGUGUGUGCCAGCAGUGCAUGUCCCUGUCCCAGUGCUUGACAGCAGUGAUGGCACCUUGUUCACACACCCCUGACCAAAAUGCCUUCAGAGUAUCUGCUGGGUGCCCUUGUGUUUGGAGGUUUGGAUAGUCCUGUCAAUGCACUGACCACUCCUCAACUCCUGAAAGAAAAUAAGGACUGUGGUAAAAGGUGCUGGCUGAGCUCCAGGGACCAUCCAGUGUGGGGAUAGCAGUGGUGGAGUGAAUCCACUGGACAGAGCAAUCUGACAGAAGAAAUGAUCCAGCCCAAUUUCACCCAAGGCUUGACUUUGCACUGGGAUUAUCCUGAGAUUCCUCUGCUUCAGGCACGCUGAAAAACUUCUUGUUCCUCCUGCUCUGUGGCAGACGAUGCUGCAUUAGGAUUUGUACAAGGCUUUGACAGGAGCCAGAACGGUGGAUUUGAGUACACAAAGAAAUGAAAUCAGACAGAACUGACUGGAAAAUACCCCAUAGCCCCAGCAUUUCCCAUUCCGUGAGCUAAGAGGGACCUGUACACAUGGGACUGUUCCACAGCAUGGGGAUGGGCUACAUGAUGAGCAACAGGAGCUCUGUGUCCAGGCAGCUCGUACUACAUCAAGUCUCAAGAGCAAUGCUCUCUCAGAGCACUGUCAGAAGGACAUGCCAGGACUGCCCAGAGACAAAUGGAAAAUGCAAUGUAAGAGAAGCAGGGGAGCCAAGCCUGCUGUUAAUAACCCAGUCUGUUUCAGACAUACUUGUUCCACCAUCAUCCUUCUGAAGCAUUUUGAAUAGAACCCCUAUGCAAAGGGAGACCUUAAUAAGAAACUUACUCCUGCUCUUCCUGGAACCACCAUGUUCAUUUUUCUUGAAAACAUAUAACUGUGGUAACUUUUGGCUUUUAAUCUGAUUUAUGACCCUUUGAGAUGCUGUUGAGGUUAUAGCUGAGGCCCUUAAAAUGGACAAAAUUAGUAGAAAACAUAAAUUUAAUUUGGUAAACUUAUAAUUAAAAUUAUAUCAAAAAAUCAGCACUGAGAGGAAAACUAUUACAUAAAAAAUGAUACUGGAAUGAGCAGAGUCCUCUGCACCUAUACACAUUUCUUCUAGCAGAUAUUCUGCUUGUCCUACUUUUGGGCAACUACUUUUGAUCAAAAUGCUGCAGACUAAAAAAGGUGGUCCUCAUUUUGUAGUGCUUGUUUUGGGUGAACAAAAUUGUCUUCUGUCUUUAGAUGUUGAAUGAUUAUUUGAAAGCAACCUGAUGAAUAGAAGACCGUGUACUCUCACUUGGGGCAAAUGUAUUUUUUGAUUGAUUCAUAAUAAUUAAUCUUUGUCUAAGUGGAAUGCAUUAAUUUCUCCUACUGGUGGUGGCUGUACUUCUGUUUCUUUUCCCAAGUUAGAUGGUUGUGCUCCAGAGGCAUAUUUACUGAUUAAAUUGGACUGCAACCGGGUACUUAGGUUAUGUCACUGUUACCCAAAUGAUCUUUUAAAGAACACAGAGUACUUGUUUUUGCUGCUCUUACAUGCUCCACAUUUAAUCACAGAUCUUUGUAGCUUGUUAUUUCUAAAAUUCAGAUUACUGCGACUUAAAAGCCUCUCAGUCCCUGCCAGUGCUCGGUGACAUAAAAUAAACCCACAUAUUAAGAAAAGAACCACAAAACUUGUCAAGUUGCACUGAGGGGUGGAAAGAAAAAGCAAGAAUGCUUUACAGUGAUUUGAAAACGCCGUCUGCAGCACAGCUAUAAAGGGAAAUGCUAGAAUAAGUUGAUAUUAUCCAUGUAGCCAGAACUGCUUUUGAGAGUGCUGUUAGACAGCAGCACCCCUGGGGCAGGGGUCCCUGUUGAGUGUGGUGUCCCAGGGCAUGGGUGGGACACAGACACUCAGCAGAAAUGGGUUCAUGCCCUGGGGAACAUGAAGUGCCACUGGGCAGCAGGAUUGGGAAGGGGAAAACAGAGGGAGAGAUUCC